AUAACGAGUAACCAGGCAACCCUAGUCCGCCGACGCCCCAUCCUUUCCCUCCCCCUCUUUCCUUCCGAGCUCCACAGGCCACAGCAGGCAGCGGCUGCUCACCCAGCGGCGGCAGCAGGCCGGCGGCGAGCCUACGAGGAGCUGCUCCUCCUUCCUCACCGACUCCCCGUCGUCCUCGUCUCCGACUCCCCCUCACCCUCAGCCCCUCUCACGCAGCAGCCCAGACCUCUUGUCAAGCUCGAUCCUGGUGGCAGCUCAUCGGUUGAGGUCGGCACAACCACCAACAUGGCUCCUCCUGCUGAACCUACCAAUCUAAGGGCUCCAUUGUGGAGCCAUGUUACAAUUAUAGAGAAAUCACCAGCUGAGGUUGUAAUGGCUCGAAUUGCAUUAGCACAAAACAAGACAAAGAAUGUGUCCUUGCCUAGUGAUUAAGCAAGUUUUGCUUCAUCAAAUGCAAGCACUGAGAAGAAGAGGGGAGAAGGACCAAAUACUACAUUACAGAAUGUUUGGUGAGUGAUUUACGCGAGCAAUUGGAUUAAAAAAUUGCAAGAUCUUUUUAUUCUUGAGAUGUGCAAUAAAUGUACAGCCAAACCAAUUAUUUCAUUUUCAU
rnacentral:rRNA from 1 species